UUAAAUUAGUCAUGUGAUUAAUAAUAAAAAGGGGCUAAGUCUUCAUUUUCAACCAAGAACAUUCAUGAAGCAAAGAAGAGAAAAACAAACACAAAGAAGAGCAAAAAUAAGGCCAUUUCGGGUUUGGCCAUAGAAAAAUCACCCCUCAAAAUCUUGCCUCUAAAAUUAUUUUCUUGUUGAAUUCCUACUAAAUUAAGUGUCCUCUACAACUUGGUGUAGUUGUUUUGGAAGAAGGAGUACUUAUUUCUUCAAGUUGACAACUUGUUCAAGUGAAGAAGUUUGUAGAAAAAGAUUUUGGGCGAAACGGGAAUUGAAUUUGGAAAGGCGUAAAGAGCAUACAAGGUACAGACUACAGAUUUGCUGACCCACCUGCCUAGGACACCUAUUCUGCUAUUCUGGAGCGCUCUUUUGUCCAGAGCCUAUACUCUGGUACAGUCUGCUGCUGUUGUAUAUAUGUACGCUAUUCAGGGGUACGACGGGGCCCUGUCCCGUCUUAUGAUUCUGUUAUGUUCUGUAGAGGUCUGUAGACAUACAUGUGGGUUCUGUAUAUGUUUUGGGUUGCUAUGAUUUGUGAUAGCCUUAUCGGCUUCCAUGUGCUAUAUAUGUUCCUCUGUGACACUAGUAACGUCGACUGACUUUUAUAUUUAUAUAA